AGAUCCGUUGUAACUGGGCAGCCAAAGGUGCUGGAGUGAACGAAGAUAAACAGAGCUCAGAUACCAAAAGUGUGGUAGAACUAUCAAAUGGUUCAUCUGAAGAUGGUAAAGAGUCUGUUAAUAAUGAGGCUCCUGAGAACAAUCUUCAAUAUACUACUGUAUACGUGGGCAAUCUUGCUCCAGAGGUCACUCAACUUGAUCUACAUCGCCAUUUUCAUUCUCUUGGUGCUGGGGUCAUUGAGGAAG
rnacentral:misc_RNA from 1 species